GGGAUAUUAAACUACUCUAACUUUUUUGAGUUGAGCUGGAAUGGCUAGAUAGAAUAAGACUGAAAAAGAAAGCUUGGAAGUUUGUCCUGUGAAGCCAUUAGAACCUCCUGGCAGAUGACAAAAUAUAUUUGGAUACGGAUGUCUCCAGGACGUUAGUGCCAAGGCUCCAGAGAACGCGCGACUGCAUCAGCUUGAAUGCCUGCUUCUGACUCCUCUGGACACCGUCAGAGAUCUUAGAACUCAUCUCUUUAACAUGGGAUCCAUGCCCAGGACCAGAUCCCUGACUUCUCUAUAAACUACCAGUGCUGUGACACUGCAGCAACCCUCAGCUAACAGAAGCAUGAAAGGGCUCAAGCAGAACCAAACCCAGAUUUGGGAUUUCUGCUUUUGCAUCUUCCUCAUUCUCUCUUCGCCUGCUGCCAUCCAUGUAAGACAUGAUUGUGAGACUUCCCCAGCCACAUGGACCUGGACAUGGAUGAACCUGGAAACCAUCAUUCUCAGCAAACUGACACAAGAACAGAAAAUCAAACACCACCUUCUCACUCAUAGGAAAAUGUAGCUUCCUGUAGCUUCUGGAAACCAGUAUGGAAACAUGGAAGCUAAAGCAAGUAUUUCUUUAACUGCUGAACACCCAAAACCACAUUAUGUCAAGAGGAUGGUUUUCCUAAUCAUCAUCCAAUAUGAAAAUAACAUUACCGUAACACAACCCACAUAGGUGGGUGUGUGCUGCUUCUGGCUACAGAUUUCUACGUGGAGAUGCCAUGGAGGCCGAUCUACAAAAUGCAGAUGUGUCAACAGAAGGCAUAAAUGAUGGAUACAAAUGACUCUUCAAUGGAAAUUUUAUGUCAUAAAAAUGGCAAAAAUGAAAGUGAUGCAUCAGGGUAUAAGCUGAAAGCACAAUAGAAGAUGCCAAGCCAAAACAAGAACCAGAAGAUGUCGAGGGAAUGAUUCCAAAGAACUUGCCAUGGGUUUCAAUAGAGAAUCCUGGUGAUGACUGAUUUUGUUUGUAUCAUCAAGGCUUCCCAGUAAAUUCACAUUACAUAUAUAUUUUAUUAUUUCUUAAUGAUUUUUGCCAUUCUUUAAAAAAAGAGAAUGCAUUGCAAAACCUAAUUUAGGACAUAAAAGUUAAUAAAUUGUUUGUUUAAAUUCA
rnacentral:lncRNA from 13 species